UACGUAGGGAGCAAGCGUUGUUCGGAUUUACUGGGCGUAAAGGGCGCGUAGGCGGCGCUGUAAGUCACUUGUGAAAUCUCUGGGCUUAACUCGGAACGGUCAAGUGAUACUGCAGUGCUAGAGUGCGGAAGGGGCAAUCGGAAUUCUUGGUGUAGCGGUGAAAUGCGUAGAUAUCAAGAGGAACACCUGAGGUGAAGACGGGUUGCUGGGCUGACACUGACGCUGAUGCGCGAAAGCCAGGGGAGCAAACGGG
rnacentral:rRNA from 1 species